rnacentral:tmRNA from 1 species
CCGGGGGCGGUCCCGGCGCCUCCACCAAAGUAUAAUCAACAAAGAUUAUAUUUUUAUGGGGGCGAAACAGGAUCGACAAGGGUGUAAAGAUCGCUCUUUUACUCGGCAUUGUACCACCGUUAUCGGGCUAGAUGAAUAGUUGCAAAUGACAACUAUGCGGAGGCACGUCUCAUCGCUGCUUAAGCGAUGCGAAGGCUUCAAAUUAAGUCUUAAACCGUCGCAGGUUUAAGGGGGGUUCAAAGGCACCUGCAAACAGAAGCACA